CUUGGCCGCGGGGGCAAACCCCAGCUCUGCAGGGCACCCGGCUUAUACCCGCAGAAGAGCCCUUUUCCCGAGGUACUGGGAUUGUUCAUGUCAGUCUGAGCGUCUCUGCAUGUGAGGUAAGCCUAGGAACUUUCUUCUGCUACGCAGGCUGUCCGGAGGAGUCAGUGUUACAGCUUAGUAUUUGUGGCAUUACCUCUGCAAUCUUGGAUAUAAUCCUCUGAAUUAAGCAGAGGAAUUUUUUCGAUGCCCGAUUGCAGCCAACAGGUCAGCUAUGGAACAAGUUCACUGGUGACUGUGACAGGCCUUCCUAUGUCAUAUCCUCAGUGCUAAAUUGCAGACUCUAAUAGUUUGCUGAAGACAUGCUGUCAGGAUGAUGGAGAUGAGGUGUAAAAGUUCUCCAACUACGCAGCAGAGAGGGGUUCGGUUGCAGUUCAGUCAAAAGCAGAAGCCUGCUCCCCAGAGCCUUAUGCUGCUAAAAAAGCACUGAGUUGCAGAAGAAGGAACUGCCUUCCCAACUGGAUGUGUUUCCAGAGGCUCCUUUCUUCACUCACCUGUCCCUGGGACCCUCUUUCCAUCUUCCUCUGUGACUUAAGUGUGAAGGCUGCACUCCCCUACUUGAAACCAGCUGUCUGUAUGAUUGUGAAGCUUUCCUGAGCAAGUUCCCCUUCCAGGUCCAGAUAGUAUGCAAUCCCCUGUAAACUAUAGAUAUUGCAAGUCCUAAAACAAAUUACCGUGUUAACGGAACAUGAGUACCAACGGCAAAAUAUUUUUCCAGCAAGCAGCAGUGCUCUUGCUAGACGUGACCUUCAAGCAGAGAUAAUGAGAGAGAAAUUCUUGGGAAAAGCGCAAGGAAAAUAGAUGCUUCUAACAUCACGAAAGAAAAAACCUAUGGUCGUUCUCAGCCUUUGGUUGUUCCUCUGACUUGAUCCAGAUUAUGGAAAGCAGGGCUGGGGAAUGACAAUGAUCAAGACGGCAGAGCUAGGAUUGCACCUCCUCUUUUGCAUGGUUUGAGAAAAGUCUGUGCAGCGGGUCUGUCUUGUGCCAGAUGAAAAAGAAAUCAUCACAAAAGACAGCAGCUGAACAGCCUUGCGCUGGAGGAGUAACCUGUGCCAAGGAGACCUUGAAAGGUGGCAUGAGCUGCGUGUUCAGAGCUGCUGGGAGAGGACACAGUGAUUUGGAGAGAAGCCUCAGGCGCACUCUUCCGUUUCCAAGGGCAGGAAACAUCUGAUGCUUUCUUGGUCUCUUCACAACAGUUCCCUGGUUGUGAGGCCUUGGUGACACAAUCUUAGAGCCACGGGACCUGCUUUGUAGUCCCAGCAUUGUGGAAGGUGUGAGGACGCUGCAGACUGCAUGUUGUUGUCGCUCUCAGACCUGCUCUGAGCGUCUGGGAGUGCUGAUAAGAUGAGGAUGCAUGCAGUAUGAGGACAUUCAGACAGUCUGUCCUCAGCUUGGCCUUCGCAGUACGGUUCCAGCUCUGACUCAAGAAGCAGCAGGAUCUAUGAGCUCUGACUGAGCAAGGAAGCAUUGCCCUGCAGCUGGCGUUUUGCACGCUGCAUGUUCAA